UUUUAUGAUGAUGCAUUUUGUAUGAAAGUGGUUUUUAUUGCGAGUCUUGACGGAGAAAUUACCUUUAAAUUCAUGGGUUGUCUCCAUUUCGGUAGCUUCAACAAAUUCAACUACAUCAGAAAGAAUUAAUUUCAUCCUAAAAGCAUCCAAAUGAUAUACCUGGAAGUGUAGUGUUUCGAAGGACUCCCUUAAGCUCCUCUCAUGAAACAUGAAAGAACUAGACACCUAUCUGGUUUGCCCGAAUCUGGAUGAAGUAAUGCAUGUUUCUAGCUCCAAGCUCUGAAUUCAACUAUCCAGCUGGAUGGUAA